GUCACCACCACCUUUGAGGCUUCGAUGAUAGUAAUUGGGAAGAUUGGGGAAUCCGAUUCCAACGAUGAAUCUCUCGUGAUGGCAUUAUUGUUUUGUUAAAAUAAUAGGUUUCAAUAAUUGAAGAACAAACGACGUUUUCUAAAGUUUUUAGUGUUAGACAAAAUAUAAAAGUGGUGGCCAAAUUGACUUUAACCAGCUCAAAAGACCAAAUAAACCACAUGCGACGUGUGUCUUUAUAACAACAAAAACAAAUCAAAUAUAGUAAUUAAAAUUUCUAAUUAUGAAACAUGUGAUAUCAUCAUCAUCAGCAUCAUCAUAAUUGUCUUCUAAAGGCGUCUCUC